UAUUUUCUUUGCUCGCGAUGCGGCUCAUAUGAAGAAUAUGAUAAUAUCAUAUCGUUUUUAUAACGACAUUUAUUUGCUGUGUGCACAUAAACGUCUCUCAAGGACAUUUCCUUUCACUCGCAAUGCGGAACAGACGAGGACGUAAUUCUCUCCAAAACUUUAUUUCUCAAGAUAGAUAUUUUCUUCCACUCACGAUGGGGAGAAUAUGGGGAAUCUGUUUUUUAUCAAAGGAAAACACCAUAAAUUUUAAUCGCUGUGCAGUGCAGACCAUGGUGCAGACGCGGUUAGUUAGAGAAGGGAGAGAGCAGAAAGAGAUAUUUUCUUUCACUCGCGAAGCGGAGCAGACGAGGAAGUUGGUUUUAACAAGGAAAACACCGAAAACAGAGCCCUGCCUCAGCACAGUGAGAUCAGCAUGGAAUUCAGGAAUGGCAACCUAUUUUCCAAAGCACUUUUGUGAUGCUGCAAGUGGGAGUGGAUUUCUUGCUUAGCUGAAAACUGCAGAGAAACACAUCUUGUCGUCCUGAAAAAAGAAAGAAACUACUUUCUCCAAGGAGGUCCAAACGCCAUUGGGCACAGACUUUGUUCAAUGAUCAGUAAACUACAUUCAGCCAGGGCCGUCCUUAGAGGGGUGCUACUGGUGUGGUCGCUCCGGGCCCCGCACUUGAGGGGUAAACGGACUGAAUGAGCCCCCCCUCCGCCAACCUGGGAACGCUCCCUACUUCACACCGGGCCCCGAAUCAGCUAAGUACGGCACUGCAUUCAUGGUUGAUGGUAAUGAAUGAGAUGCUGUGGUUUAAGCAGAUAAAUGUAAGCACUAUAAACCUGAUUAAAUUGAGAAUACAUAUGGAGCAAAUAUAUUUUUUGUGUCUUUGCACUGAUUUGCUUUGACAUUGUUUUAAUUGUUGUAAAGAAUGUUCUUUAUAUGUAUUGAAAACACUGAAUGUGAAGACAUUUUGGUGCAGGGAAAAAGAGUUACAAUGUUUCAAUUAAAAUAAAUAAAUGUGUAAACAUG